AGCCUGAAGGAAGUUGAUUUUAGGUGAGCCCUGCCCAGUGAUAAAGCAUUAAACGGCCGCAGUACUUUGACUGUGCUAAGGUAGCGUAAUCAGUUGGCUUUUAAAUGGAGUCGAGAAUGAAGGGGUUUUCGGGGACUAACUGUCUCUAUUAGAUUAAUCUAAACUUACUUAGAGGGUGAAAAUUCCCUCUAAAAGAAAAAAGACGAGAAGACCCUAAGAGUUUUAACUAAGCCUUAUAUAUGUAAGGGAAGUUUUUGCUGGGGCGGCAAGGAGACAGACAAUAUAACUCUCCUAUUUAGUUUUUAGAAGACGCAUGUAUAAAGAGACAAAAAACUACCUUAGGGAUAACAGCAUAAUUUAAUGUAAGUUUGUGACCUCGAUGUUGGACUAGGGACUUUACGGCUAGCAGUCGCAAGAGCAGGUUCUGUUCGAACCACACUACCCU
rnacentral:rRNA from 1 species